rnacentral:tRNA from 1 species
UAGAAUGCAGCAAAGUACAUAAAGUGCUGGACUCCCAGUCCUGAGGCCCCAAGUUCGAUUCCCGGCAUUCUAU